rnacentral:rRNA from 1 species
GUCCACACGGUAAACGAUGGAUACUCGCUGUUGGCGAUAUACUGUCAGCGGCCGAGCGAAAGCAUUAAGUAUCCCACCUGGGGAGUACGCCGGCAACGGUGAAACUCAAAGGAAUUGACGGGGGCCCGCACAAGCAGCGGAGCAUGUUGUUUAAUUCGAAGCAACGCGAAGAACCUUACCAGGUCUUGACAUCCGAUUAAAGCCGUAGAGAUACGGUGUGACUUCGGUCGAAUCGAGACAGGUGGUGCAUGGUUGUCGU